AUUGAACGCUGGCGGCAGGCCUAACACAUGCAAGUCGAGCGAGCGGCGGACGGGUGAGUAAUGUAUGGGGAACUGCCCGAUAGAGGGGGAUAACUACUGGAAACGGUGGCUAAUACCGCAUACUAUCGGAUGAACCCCUAUGGGAAUAGCGAGUAGGUGGGGGAAAGGCUCACCUAGGCGAAGAUCCCUAGCUGGUCUGAGAGGAUGAUCAGCAACACUGGGACUGAGACACGGCCCAGACUCCUACGGGAGGCAGCAGUGGGGAAUAUUGCACAAUGGGCGCAAGCCUGAUGCAGCCAUGCCGCGUGUAUGAAGAAGGCCUUAGGGUUGUAAAGUACUUUCAGCGGGGAGGCGUUACCCGCAGAAGAAGCACCGGCUAACUCCGUGCCAGCAGCCGCGGUAAUUC
rnacentral:rRNA from 1 species